ensembl:lncRNA
CUACCUACUAUUUCUUCACUUGAAUUGUUUCAUUCUCUCUAUGGAAAAAAAUAAUGUUUUAGGAGUGAUGAGCUUUAUAUAGUGAUGGAAAGUGUUUUUUCAUUUGUUUCCUCCCUCAGAUCUCAUUUAGUGCAGAAUUAUAAAUUAUAUAGAGGCACGAGGCAUGGGUUUAUUGUGGUUUAAGCUACUGGUCAAACUCUGAAUAACAGUGCACCUUUGCACUGCAUAGGUUCACUAUGAUGUUUGGGAAUUUACUUUUGAAUCACUUGUUAGUCACUGCUCACUUUUGUUUUCUAAAUGGUGAUCGUAUUGUCUUCAUGCUUGACUGGAGGAACUAUGGUCUGCAAUGUGUAGGACUACCAAAGGCUAAAAUUGAAGUACUGUGUUUGAGAAAAGAACCAUGCCUACCCAAGUACUCAGGAUGCUGAGAAUGGGGAAGGUGACACUUCUAAUCUUAACUUCCGUAUGUCAUAAAUCACUGAUUUAUAAAACAGUGAUGAGGUCAUUACUUUUCCUUGAAGGGGUAUUCUAGAAAUUAAAUAAUAUUCUGGAAAUAUUCGAGUACAGUAGAGAAGAGUUCCAUAAUCCGUCAUGCACAGUACAUGGAACAGGAGUCCAAAUGAGAAGCGUACUUUAUGAUCUUGUAAUUAAAACUCUACUGUAAUACAUAAGCAUACAAAAACAAUUUAGCACUACAUGACCAAUGUUGGCUUUGACUUAUUCUUUCUUUUAGCUAUAUCUUAACAUCUAUCCUCUUCAUCUUAACUUUAUAUUUCACUAUGUUGUGUGUUACGUGCUUACAAGAUUGUGUAUAUAUUUAUAUCCUGUGUACACAUGGGAUUUAUUUGGCCUAAUAUCAGUCAUCUAGACUUGCUCCAAUCAGAAGAUGUUUUAUUCUACAGUUGGUGCCUUUGAGAAUCAGGAUGCCUCUCUCUUCACACUGACUACUGUGAGGUCCAGUAUUGGUAGCUGUUUCAUCAUGGGGAAUAUUUUUAAGAACUGGGCAUUAUGCAUCACAGCUUAAAAAAUAUGAUGAUAUUUCACAUUACCAGCAACAUCCAACUUACUUUAUUAAUGGUAGGUGCAAAAUACACAGCUGCCUAGGUUAACAGGUCAGGCAAGGGGAGACCAAACUAAUCAAAAAACUAAAUUUUCAGCCUGUAAUUUCUCUACAAAUAAUAAUUGCAAAAGUAAAAUCCAACUUUGAUCUCAAAACUUCUGCUUUGUUUUAGAUUAAUACCUUAUCUUAUACAGAUCCUUGGAUUCCACAUGUAUUGUUUUGGAUUGGAGUGCACAAAGCUUCCACAGUAAGAAAGACCAAGACCUAAUUGCCUGUACAACUCUAUUGAGUGACCUCAAGGAACGACACAGAUCAAUCCACUUCCUAGAGAGAAACUGCCACCGUGGAGAGAGUAUAUCCACACUCUGGAGCUACUGCUGGCUGUCUAAGAAGUUUCCCCCCUGCCCUGCCAAGGUUUGCAACGUUCGUUACCAAUAUGUAUGACCUAUGUCAGAUCUAGCCCCCUGUGAGAGCUCUGGAAGUGAUCAGAGGAGAUGUGGAAGAGCUGUCCUAAGAUAUUUCACAUGCUGAAUAUGAAGAUCAGUCUCCAGUAUCACAGGGUGCACCACUGACUCACACCAGAGCAUGGCUUACUCGUUUCAAAGGAGCAGAAGUACAGAAAGAAAGAGUUCAACUAAGUUAUGCACACACUUUUUCCCCCUUCUCAUAGAAUUUUCUCUGCACUCACUUUCCAAUGUCCCCGUUGUCUUCUCUAGCUCCACUUCCAGCAGUCUCAGGUGCACUUCUGUGCAGUUUCACAGUGUUGUGCUUUUCUUUAAAUCAGUGGUAGGUUGGAGAGCCUGCGAUAGAAGUAGAUGGUAUCUAGUGGGCAUCCUGUUUAGUAACAGGAUAUUCCUGCUCUGGACAUCCAGAUAUGGUUCUGGAGUAGACAUUUUCAGCACAAGAUUGAUCCCACAUCUGUUCCUUCUUGUCUUAUCUAAUGCCCAAGGUGUUUUCCAAGAUAAAAGCAUCAUUAUCAAAGAGUGCUUCCCAGAGUAAGAGGAAGCCUAUUUAUGUUUCUUAUUACCUUGUAAACGAAGGUUACGUGAGGUGAGAUCCUUGCAGAAUCAGAGUGGGAAAGCUGAUAAGGGCACAUUGUGGAUGUCCAUGGCCAGCAGGCACGAGAGGCAGUGUGGGCCCCCCACCCUGAUACACAGGAUGCUGUGCCUUGAAUCAUCCCAGGCUGUUUCCAACACACUCUCCCAAACCAGACUAAAGAGUUCCUGUUCCAGAAGUGAAAGAGGUC